rnacentral:rRNA from 1 species
UUGGAGGGCAAGUCUGGUGCCAGCAGCCGCGGUAAUUCCAGCUCCAAUAGCGUAUAUUAAAGUUGUUGCAGUUAAAAAGCUCGUAGUUGAAUUUCGGGAUCAAUUUAUUGGUCGUGCUAUUGUACGUACUGGUAUUAUUGAUUCCUACCUUCUGACGAACCAUGAUGUCAUUAACUUGGUGUCAUGGGGAGUCAGGACUGUUACUUUGAAAAAAUUAGAGUGUUUAAAGCAGGCUCACGCUUGAAUACAUUAGCAUGGAAUAACGAAAUAGGACGUUUGAUUCUAUUUUGUUGGUUUCUAGGAUCGACGUAAUGAUUAAUAGGGAUAGUUGGGGGCAUUAGUAUUCAAUUGUCAGAGGUGAAAUUCUUGGAUUUAUUGAAGACUAACUACUGCGAAAGCAUUUGCCAAGGAUGUUUUCAUUAAUCAAGAACGAAAGUUAGGGGAUCGAAGACGAUCAGAUACCGUCGUAGUCUUAACCAUAAACUAUGCCGACUAGGGAUCGGAUGAUGUUAAUUUUUUAAUGACUCAUUCGGCGCCUUACGGGAAACCAAAGUGUUUGGGUUC